rnacentral:rRNA from 2 species
GUCUGCAUGGAAUAAAAUAUGCAGUCUGGCCUGCCCCCUGAAGUUUUAAAGGGCCGCGGUAUCUGAACCGUGCUAAGGUAGCAUAAUAAACAGUCUCUUAAUUGGGGUCUAGUAUGAACGGUCGGACGUGGGGUAAACUGUUUCAACUUUAAAUAUUGAAUUUUACUUUUAAGUAAAAAGGCUUAAAUAAAAUGGUGGGACGAUAAGACCCUAUAAAGCUUCACACUCAAUUUAUUAGUUGAAGGAUUUAAAGUAUCUUGUUCUUAUUAAAAAGAGUGUUUCAUUGGGGCGAUGAAAAUAUAAAAUGAUAACUGUUUAUAUAUAAAAAUAUACUUUUAUAGGCGAGUUGAUCCUUUCUAGAGAUUAAAAGAUUUAAGUUACUUUAGGGAUAACAGCGUAAUUUUCCUUGAGAGUUCAUAUCGACAGGAGUAGUUGCGACCUCGAUGUUGAAUUAAAAUUUCACCAAGGUGUAGCAGUUUUGGUGGUGGGUCUGUUCGACCUUUAAAAUUUUACAUGAUUUGAGUUCAGACCGGCGUG